AUUGCAAAUCUUAAGAGCCUCUGAUUUAAUGAAAAAGGAGGAGAAUAAUGUGUUAAAUUUUCUUGAGUAUCUCUUAGAAAAUCUAUUUUUGAACCUCACUAAUGAGUUCUAAUUGGCUUGCUCUUUAGAACUUCAAUUUUGUGCCAAUUCAUUAUUUUAUGUAUCAAAUUGUGCUUAUUUUCUAAAGAAAUAAAAGAAAGUCUUUAAAAGAGCUCUAAGAUGUAUCAAAAAAAUUGCAUGAAUUCAUAUUUUGGUAUUUGUGCCCCAAUGCUCUUAUUAUCAUACAAAAACUUUGAAGUCAUUAAGAAUUAAUGAUCCAACAUGAUGAUAUGUCUCUCAAAUAUAUAAAUUUUGAUCUUUUACUCUGAAAAUCAAUUAAAUUGCUCUCAUGUUGAUAAAAUACUUAAUAGAUUGGGCAAAAGGUCUUAAAUGAACAAGCUUUCAUAUUUAUUAUUGAAGAGAGGUUAGAUUUCCAUUCGUGUUUUCCUUGAAUAUCAUUUGUGGUACUUCUUGAAUUAACUUAAGAAAGAUUCCACCUACACUUGAUUAGAAAACUAUCUGUGGUAUCAAAUUAGAAAACUUCUUGAAAUCACAUUCGAUGUGUUCUGCUCUGAAAUUAUCUUAAUUGGCUCUGAUCUAUGCUUCUUAAUCUGAUUCUAACAUUCAAAUCAGAGUACAAUAAGGGAAAGAAAUAUUUGAGUAUUCUUAUCUUUGUGCUUAAUGUUUCCCUAUCUUUUUGAUGUUGUCAAAAAGGGGGAGAAAUAUCUAAGUAUAUGCUCAUAAUGCUUUAUGUUUUGAAUUGAAUACAAAUCAGCUUAAAUUGAAAUAUGUUGAUUGUGUUAAGCUGAUUAAAUCUAAAGCAUUAUCAUGAAGUAUGUUUUUACAUAUAUAUGUUUUCUACUUCAUGCAACUUAGCUAUGUAUUACUUCUAGAACACAAUAUAUUUUAUAUUGCAUAUAUAUUUUAUAUUGCAUAUACUCCAAGUUGUGUCAUCAUCAAAAAGGGGGAGACUGAUGACCCAAAGAUUGAUUUAAAGAUUGAUUUUGAUGAUCACAAAACCUUGAAGUAUAAAUACUAAUGUUUGUGUUGCAAGGAGAAAGAUAUUUAUUUUGCAAGGAACAUAGCAAGUUGGAAGAACACAAGAAGGCCUCCAAAGCUCUCAAGAAAAGUUGGAAGAAAGUUACAAAUUAUUGGCCCAAGUUUCAAGUUCAAAGGAUUCAAUUUGGAGGAGCAAAUUCAAAGGAAAAUUCAAAAGAAUAGUCUUCGAGUCGACUCC
rnacentral:lncRNA from 1 species